ACCUUCCUUGUACCUACCUGUAAUGCCGCCUCCCCUGUCACUGCUCUACCGUCCGCCGGAAAUCGUCGCCGGCGGCGGCGGAGCUCCAAAUGAGCCCAAAACUUCACCACCAACACUCCUUCCUCUUCUUUCCGACCCCCGUAACCAUUUCCCUCAAAUCCCAUCCAAUCAACUCGAAUCUUAAUCCGAAACUUUCUGGCCAAGUGACAAGUUUUUCCAAAUAAUCCCAAAUUGAUACCAUACAAUCUCCUAGGCUUUCUCUGCACAAAUAUGUGGGUAUUUAACUUUACAUAUAGCUAGGCCGCCUCCAAUUUCCAAUGUAGGGUUGUAUGUGUUUGGACUGGUUUGGGAUUUUUUAAUUCGAAUGAACUUGUGUUAAUGUUAUGGGUCUAUUUCUUAUGAAAUGGACAUAUAAUAUUAACAUUUGAAGUUAGCUUUUCUAUUAAAUUGAUUCGUUGUUUUCUAGUAUAGUUCUUAAUUCCCAGUCUAGUUAGUAAAACCUCGUUGCUUUUAAUUGUUAUAAAUGUUUAGAUUAACUUCUUUUAGGUUGAUUGUCAUUUUUUUCUGUGAAUUCUGAUUCAAUUUUGGUUUCGUUAGUUUGAAUUCUCAAAUGUUAAGUGGUUCAGCUAAUCGUUAGUUUAAUUUGGCUUUUUCUAUUGUUCUGUUGAUGUGAUGUUGAUUUGGGAUAGGGCCAUGAUUCCAGAAAUUGGCUUAGUUUUAUAUGUCUGAUAAAGUUUUUAGGUUCAGUAGUAUAAAGGUUAAAUUUCUGUUAAUCUAUUCAAAUAUAAUUGUAGUUUGUUCAUGUUGAUUUUGUCUGUUUUAUUCUUCUGGAACUCACUCGGGUUGAUUUCAGUUUAUGAUUUUACUUGUUGGUUGUCAAUUCAAUUAGUGUUAAUUGGUAUUGAUUAUUGCAGAGUUUUAAUUAGGUUUAAGGUUUGGAUAUAGCUGAGUGGUCUAGUUUAUUUAACUUUAGUAAGGUGUUAACUGGGGUAAAGAGGUUUAGUGUAGUCAACUAAGGCCAGUAAUUUUAGACUAUUGGAAGGGCAAUUUAGGCAUAGAAAAGGGUAGUUUUAUUAGGAAUAGUAAUUUCAAAAUCAGGGCAGGGGUAGUAUAUGCAUUGUAUAGCUAAAAGAACCUUUCAGGACAUUCAAAAUGGGGCUUUAGUGUAAGUUUUAAUAAUUUUAGUAGUAGUUACUUGAGGAACAAGUUAGAAAUAGGAGGGUGAAAAUGAAAAUAGGUAGGGACUUAUAGUGUAAAUGGAAGAUUUGAGGGCUGCCCUCUUUUGGCUUAUAAAAGGGCAUUCCUAUACCUUGAAACACAAGCGGGGGGAACCUCUAAAAAUCCCCCAAAUACUCCUCAAGCUCAUAGAUCUGAAAAUUAAAAUUUCAGAUCCAAAUUCUUUAGUAUUCUAGCUUCCAUCAAAAGAAAAAACAAAAACAAAGUAGAAGAUCUUUAGGAAACAAAAAAGAGAAGUUCAGAAACUACUGUUCCAUUGAAGAUUUCGGGCUUUGGGUGUUUUAUUUUCAUUUCUUAGUUCGAAAUCUGUUGGUCGAGGGUUCAGAGGUGUUUUGAGUUUUCUUCAAGUGAUUUUAGGUGGUUUUUUGAUUGAGUUUUGCAUUGCGGAAGUUUCAAAAGUUUUGAGUUCAGCUUAGAAUCUGUUUGAAUGCAGUCCAGUAGUUUGUGAAUGAUGUUUUAGUCCCCGUUGGUUUCAAACUCUUUCUUGGUCAUUUCCAAGAAAAUUUGGUUUGUUUUGGAGUUGUCUGAGUCGAUCUUUCAGUUCUGAUUGGGUUUAAAUUUGGGUUGAUUUUGGUGAUUUGGGAAACUGUUAUUGCUUUUGGUUUUCAAACCUCUUCUGGGUUAUAAACUGAUUCCUGGGUUGUGUGUUGUUGCUACUCGCAUAUCUGCUGGUUUGCUGAUAUAGUGCUGCUACUGAUUUUCCUUUUUCUGUUGCAAAUUCCAUUUCCAGGUACAUGCUUGAGCUUGUUGUGAUGUAUUCCUCCCAUGAAAUGGGAAUGCAAUUGAUACUUGAUACAUGCUGAAGUGUCCUUUACUGUUUUAUCAACUCAUUUUAUUGCAGUUACUUUUAGAUUUGGUUUGUCUAAAUGGCAAUGCAAUUGAUACUUGAUACAUGAUGAAGUGUCCUUUACUGUUUUAUCAACUCAUUUUAUUGCAGUUAGUUUAAGAUUUGGUUUGACGAUUUUGCUACUCUAGCUCAUUUGUAAUGAACUGGGCCAAUAUGUAUUGGAUUGAUGAACUUUAAGCAUCAGCUACUCAUGUAAAUGGUUAGACUGAUUUUUGGCCUUUAACCAUGCUAUAGUGUAGUACAAGUCAUAAUUAUUCUCCAUUAAUUGAUAC
rnacentral:lncRNA from 1 species